UGGAUCUGGGCUCGGAUGACGCUGGCGGCGUGCCUAAUACAUGCAAGUCGAACGCACAGCGAAAGGUGCUUGCACCUUUCAAGUGAGUGGCGAACGGGUGAGUAACACGUGGACAACCUGCCUCAAGGCUGGGGAUAACAUUUGGAAACAGAUGCUAAUACCGAAUAAAACUUAGUGUCGCAUGACACAAAGUUAAAAGGCGCUUCGGCGUCACCUAGAGAUGGAUCCGCGGUGCAUUAGUUAGUUGGUGGGGUAAAGGCCUACCAAGACAAUGAUGCAUAGCCGAGUUGAGAGACUGAUCGGCCACAUUGGGACUGAGACACGGCCCAAACUCCUACGGGAGGCUGCAGUAGGGAAUCUUCCACAAUGGGCGAAAGCCUGAUGGAGCAACGCCGCGUGUGUGAUGAAGGCUUUCGGGUCGUAAAGCACUGUUGUAUGGGAAGAACAGCUAGAAUAGGAAAUGAUUUUAGUUUGACGGUACCAUACCAGAAAGGGACGGCUAAAUACGUGCCAGCAGCCGCGGUAAUACGUAUGUCCCGAGCGUUAUCCGGAUUUAUUGGGCGUAAAGCGAGCGCAGACGGUUUAUUAAGUCUGAUGUGAAAGCCCGGAGCUCAACUCCGGAAUGGCAUUGGAAACUGGUUAACUUGAGUGCAGUAGAGGUAAGUGGAACUCCAUGUGUAGCGGUGGAAUGCGUAGAUAUAUGGAAGAACACCAGUGGCGAAGGCGGCUUACUGGACUGCAACUGACGUUGAGGCUCGAAAGUGUGGGUAGCAAACAGGAUUAGAUACCCUGGUAGUCCACACCGUAAACGAUGAACACUAGGUGUUAGGAGGUUUCCGCCUCUUAGUGCCGAAGCUAACGCAUUAAGUGUUCCGCCUGGGGAGUACGACCGCAAGGUUGAAACUCAAAGGAAUUGACGGGGACCCGCACAAGCGGUGGAGCAUGUGGUUUAAUUCGAAGCAACGCGAAGAACCUUACCAGGUCUUGACAUCCUUUGAAGCUUUUAGAGAUAGAAGUGUUCUCUUCGGAGACAAAGUGACAGGUGGUGCAUGGUCGUCGUCAGCUCGUGUCGUGAGAUGUUGGGUUAAGUCCCGCAACGAGCGCAACCCUUAUUGUUAGUUGCCAGCAUUCAGAUGGGCACUCUAGCGAGACUGCCGGUGACAAACCGGAGGAAGGCGGGGACGACGUCAGAUCAUCAUGCCCCUUAUGACCUGGGCUACACACGUGCUACAAUGGCGUAUACAACGAGUUGCCAACCCGCGAGGGUGAGCUAAUCUCUUAAAGUACGUCUCAGUUCGGAUUGUAGUCUGCAACUCGACUACAUGAAGUCGGAAUCGCUAGUAAUCGCGGAUCAGCACGCCGCGGUGAAUACGUUCCCGGGUCUUGUACACACCGCCCGUCACACCAUGGGAGUUUGUAAUGCCCAAAGCCGGUGGCCUAACCUUUUAGGAAGGAGCCGUCUAAGGCAGGACAGAU
rnacentral:rRNA from 1 species